UACGAAGGGGGCUAGCGUUGCUCGGAAUCACUGGGCGUAAAGCGCACGUAGGCGGAUUUCUAAGUCAGGGGUGAAAUCCUGGAGCUCAACUCCAGAACUGCCUUUGAUACUGGGAAUCUUGAGUAUGGAAGAGGUGAGUGGAACUGCGAGUGUAGAGGUGAAAUUCGUAGAUAUUCGCAAGAACACCAGUGGCGAAGGCGGCUCACUGGUCCAUAACUGACGCUGAGGCACGAAAGCGUGGGGAGCAAACAGG
rnacentral:rRNA from 1 species